UUAAGAGCAGAAGAAAAAAUGGGAAAAUUCCACCAUCUCCCAAAAAGAGAUGUGGCAAUCUUGAAGAGAAAAUUAUCUACCUUGCAAAGGUAUCUCGGCGGGAUCAAAUAUAUGACGAGAUUGCCAGACAUUGUGAUCGUCCUUGAUCAGCAAAAAGAGUAUAUAGCUCUUCGGGAAUGUGCCAUUUUGGGGAUUCCUACUAUUUCUUUUUUUGGUGAAACUCCAAUUUCAAUCGAUUCCAAUUCCAAGAUCCAAUAUCAUCGCAUAGGCUAUACCAUGCCAAUGCUUUUCCCUUCAAAUAUAAAUGGAAAACCUUCUUCUUAG
rnacentral:rRNA from 1 species